rnacentral:rRNA from 1 species
GACGAACGCUGGCGGCGUGCUUAACACAUGCGAGUCGAACGGAAAGGCCCUGCUUUUGUGGGGUGCUCGAGUGGCGAACGGGUGAGUAACACGUGAGUAACCUGCCCUUGACUUUGGGAUAACUUCAGGAAACUGGGGCUAAUACCGGAUAGGAGCUCCUGCUGCAUGGUGGGGGUUGGAAAGUUUCGGCGGUUGGGGAUGGACUCGCGGCUUAUCAGCUUGUUGGUGGGGUAGUGGCUUACCAAGGCUUUGACGGGUAGCCGGCCUGAGAGGGUGACCGGCCACAUUGGGACUGAGAUACGGCCCAGACUCCUACGGGAGGCAGCAGUGGGGAAUAUUGCACAAUGGGCGGAAGCCUGAUGCAGCAACGCCGCGUGCGGGAUGACGGCCUUCGGGUUGUAAACCGCUUUCGCCUGUGACGAAGCGUGAGUGACGGUAAUGGGUAAAGAAGCACCGGCUAAUUACGUG